UGUAGGAUAACGUUGCGUCAGCAACGGCCCGUAGGGCGAGCGAAGCGAGUCAUCCUGCACGACCCACCA
rnacentral:sRNA from 1 species